rnacentral:rRNA from 1 species
GCCGAGUAGAGUGGCGCACGGGUGAGUAACACGUAGGUAAUUUGCCUUCGGGUGGGGAAUAACAGCCGGAAACGGCUGCUAAUACCGCAUAAUGCAGCGGCUCGACAUCGAGACAGUUGUUAAAGCGGGGGAUUCCGCAAGGAACCUCGCGCCUGAAGAGAAGCCUGCGGCAGAUUAGCUAGUUGGUAGGGUAAUGGCCUACCAAGGCAACGAUCUGUAACCGGCCUGAGAGGGCGGUCGGUCACACUGACACUGACAUACGGGACAGACUCCUACGGGAGGCAGCAGUCGGGAAUUUUGGGCAAUGGGCGAAAGCCUGACCCAGCAACGCCGCGUGAAGGAUGAAAUCCCUCGGGAUGUAAACUUCGCAAGAAUGGGAAGAAUAAGUAGAAGAUAAUACCUUCUAUGAUGACGGUACCAUUUGUAAGCUCCGGCUAACUCCGUGCCACAGC